ACGGAAGGCAGCAGUGGGGAAUAUUGGACAAUGGGGGAAACCCUGAUCCAGCGACGCCGCGUGAGUGAAGAAGUAUUUCGGUAUGUAAAGCUCUAUCAGCAGGGAAGAUAAUGACGGUACCUGACUAAGAAGCCCCGGCUAACUACGUGCCAGCAGCCGCGGUAAUACGUAGGGGGCAAGCGUUAUCCGGAUUUACUGGGUGUAAAGGGAGCGUAGACGGCAUGGCAAGUCUGAUGUGAAAACCCGGGGCUCAACCCCGGGACUGCAUUGGAAACUGUCAGGCUAGAGUGCAGGAGAGGUAAGUGGAAUUCCUAGUGUAGCGGUGAAAUGCGUAGAUAUUAGGAGGAACACCAGUGGCGAAGGCGGCUUACUGGACUGUAACUGACGUUGAGGCUCGAAAGCGUGGGGAGCAGACAGGAUUAGAUACCCUGGUA
rnacentral:rRNA from 1 species